GGACUUUUUGGAGCGUGCUGCUGUGCAGUGCUCUGGGAUACAGGAAGUGGUGGGACGUUCCCCCAGUUCUGACUGACUGUAUCCCAGCUGUUCCAGUCCCUGGCAUUUCUUGGACAGACUGUCAUGCCAAAGGGGUCUGAUAUUUUGUGAUGCAUCUAAAUGAAGGCAAUAGCGAGGCCAGUAACCACAUCAGGCCUCGUCUCCUGUGUUUGGUCUCCCUAAAGCAGCUAGCCCUGAACCUCCAGCUUUCCCACAAAGCUGGAAAUCCAACUCCCAGGAUGCCACGCAUUUAAAAGACAGUUGUAGAACUUUUAAAAAAGCUAAAAAUUGCAUUCUUUUGUUUGCCCUGCAAGAAAGAACAAAGCAGCUCUACAGAUAAAUAAAGGAAAAGCCCAGCCUAACACUUGAGAAGAGAAUAGCUAAAGAUUGAGCUGAAAUUUAGGGAAAGGAAAUGAGAACAGAUAAAAAGGGCUGUAAUUAAUACUCAUUGUCCUUGAAGUGCAAAUUGCAAUGUACACAUUUGCUUGGCACUGACUGCUUCUAAGUCAAUGAACUCUGUAAGUUACUGAUUACUAUGAAAUGGUUUUAAUUCACUCUCUCCUGCUCUCUUUUCCACAUGUUCUUGCAAACGCACCCCACGGUGGCUGGGUUGGAUUUGGGGAGACUCGACAGAGCUUGAAGAGAAGGGGGCGCUGCAGACGGAGUGAGGCACAUGGAUGGGUAGAUUCUAGGUGGGAGGUGCCGGGAUGCUGAGCUGAGGUGCGCUGGCAGAACAGCAUGAGAGUGUAACGUGUCCUGUUGCCCAGCUAGAUUUUCAUUUGCCAUGAGAGGCCCCAGUUUGGAGCAGGGCGGGAACGGGUGAUUUGCAUGUAUGUAUUUUAAAGUGAAAAUGGAAGUGCAAAGAAUCCAGCCGACUCCUGGUGAAGAGAAAACUCUCUUACCACAGUGAAAUCACCAACAUCAAUACUCUGUAGCACUCAGUGUUUUCUCUCAGCCUGCGCUGACAGGGAGAGGGCAGUCACACACUGCCGUAUUGCAUCCAUGGGCCAUCCUGAGCCUUCCCUGCUGCACUUUCAUUCCUUGAUUUGCAGAUGCCCCAGAAGCAGGGAGGAACCAGGAAUGAAACUCCUGACUUCCAGCAGGAAGCAAGACUUUGUUGUAAUUAAAGGAAAUCAAACACAGAUAUGUAAACACACAGAAAAAUAUCCAGGAAGAUAGACACUUUCUGUCACUUGGCAGCAACUUCCAGAUUUGAGCAUGGAAAUGAUUCUCACUUUACAGGCUUUGUGCCCAGGGAUGUGGGAGAGCAAUUCUGCUGUGAGCUGUCAGCUUUCUAGUUUAAGCUUCCCUCCUAGUAGUGACUACAGCUUGAGUCAGUGAUUCUUCAGACAAAUAAUUGUUGCAAAUGAGCUUGUUGUGGUUUAAAUAAGGAGGGGGAGAGGAAGAAAAAGGGGGAGAUUGAGCUAUCAGGGAAUAAUAUGGGUUCUUCCAUUAGCUGGACAGCACGUCCAUUGAAAGCUGCAGCUUGUGUGGCCUCUGGGCGUGAUGCGAAUCAAGGUUCUUAUAAAAUCCCGAAGCAGAGCAGUGUGCUGGAGCCUACAAGGAGGUAGAUGGAGGGAUACUUGGGGUCAAAGGUGUGCCCUGAUGUGGUGGCUCUAAGCUCGAGGCAGGAGAUGUUGCUUGCUCCUUGUCUUGUCGGUUUUUGCUGUCAUUGUGUAGCCUUUCAAGGGGGUUUCUGGACUGCUGGAAUCUGGUUGUAGCUUGUGGCCAGGCUGUGGCAUCUGCUAGCAACCUCAACCUGGUUCUUUUCUUCAGACUUUCUUUUUUUUUUUUUUUCACCCAGUGCAUAGGAAGUUGCCGAGCUCUCUGUGGUCUCCUGUCUAACUCUCAGUUGUUUUCUCAGUUCUCUACAAUGGUGUCUUCUGAUUACCCAAACCCCAGUAUUUCUUUUCAGGCUCAGACCAGCAUGUUUCAUUUCAGCGUUCCACCCUGAUGUACCUUGGCCCACUAACGACUUUACUGCAGGGCUGAAUGGGACACGUAUUCCUUGAGUGUCGUGGCACAAUCAAGCCUAAUUUUUCAAUGCAAGAGUUGCUACUCUGGGAACCUCAAGGCUGUGUUCCCUUGCUUGUUCGCUCUCCCUGCCCCCAAAAAUAAAAGUCCUCCUUUCUCCAGCGCAGCCACCGCUAGACACCAGAUCCGGAGAGCACUAUGAUUGCAACAGUUUCAGAAUGAAAGGCAUCGAGAGAAACCCAUGAGACGCUGAGAACUAAUGAGGAGAGCUGUGGUUCAGGAGUAAAUGGCAGGGUUGCAGUGUUACUAGUCAUAAAAACAAAACCUCCCAUAAGCCAGACGGAAAAUUGCAUGUCGUGAAGCGUCAUAUGCGAGGAAGUGUAGGAGUGGGGCACAAAGUGUGAGAGAGGUUCCGUGGACGCCCCUGGAUCUGGUUUUCUUUUUUCCAGUAAGACUGUGCUGCAGCGGCCUCUCAGCGCUUGAGAAACAUCCCAGUGCUGAAGUCGGUUACUACAAUCCCUCACCACUUCUGCUUCCCAGCAGGCGUUGCCAGGGCCAGAGCCUCAGGAUGUCGUCUAGUAAUUAAAAACCAUGUUUCAGAAUUGGGAACGUUGGGGUGAACCUUGGGUAGUGAGCGCUCGCUGAGCAGCUUGAAUAAUCUGUUUAGUCUCAUUACAACUGAGGUGGGAAGUCUGAAUCACUAAUAACGAGCUAAAUCACUGCUGCACUCAAACGCUGGGCUUCUGCUGAGCUGAACCCACCCACACUCUCACUGAUGUGGACAGGAGAAGCGUUUGGUAACCGGCAUUUUCAUGACAGGCUGGAGAAACUAUCCCAAUAAAACCUGACUCCCUCCCCAUGA